AAGUGUGUGAAUGUAAUUAAAAAGUUAAUAAUUUAUUGGUAUGUUGAAACGUUGCCGUUGUCAAUACGUUGCCGUAUUCCAAACUUCAUCGUCCUAACACUCGAGGGGGGAGCUUGGAUGCUUCUUGUAUACUGCCAGGUCUGCUGAUGCUGAACAUCGUUUUUUCAGCUAUUUCACGUCCCACACCGGUUGAGUUUGAUACUAUAUGAGCGUUUAUAAGCAGGUACUUAGCAUCCUUCGGGGACAUCCGAUAAAAUUAGCAUGGCCCCUGCAAGGAUGACACGCACAAAUCGAGAAAUGGUCCAAAUUUGAUUUCGUGGUUCAUAUAUACACUUAUUAUUAGGGCAAACAAGUUUUUUAGGGCUUUUGAAUUUGCCAGAAUUUAUAAUCUGUCAGUUUUUUAGGGCUUCUGGAGGUGAUGGGUACAGAUUGGGUGUUCUAUGAUGUGUAAGGAAUCACAGAAACUGAGGCUAUUGCAUUCUAUGCAGUCUGAUUUACUUGACGUUCUAACACUCCACAACAGAACACUUAGCAUUAGGAUUUCUGUCUUACCAUUAGGAUCUGUUAAUGACAUGUACUUGCAUUAGAUUAUUCUUUACCAGAAAUAACUUACACAUAAUUUAUAAUUUGUUAGCACUCCCAUCGACUUACCAUUUCAGAUUAUGCAGCAAAUCAUUCUUAAGCUAGUAUGGCUAGACCAAAUUGUGCGGGUGGAAGUAGUAGUUUGACACAUGAGAAUUGGGAUAAAUAGCCGUUGUGCAACAGAGUGACAUGAAGAUUGGCUAAAUGGUUAUGAUGAAAAAAAUUACAUUUCUCAUUUGGUAACCAUACAGUGGUAGCUUCUAAGGAAUUGUUUGGUGUUUGAGAGCGUGCUUAGCUUUACUUGUUUGAUGGGUUAUUAUCUUACCACUUUAAUUAGCUUUUGAAUUUGUUGUGUUAUGAUAACCAAUUAUGUGUUGUACAUGGUUUUGUUUUAUCGUUCCUAAAACUAGGCAUAGAAGCUGGACAUUCAGUGACAUCUUGUCAGUGAUGCUGCUAAUGGGAUUUUCUUCGAGGUCCAGCGCGAGUCCCAUCUUCUUGAUCUUCAUGUGAUUGGGCCAUAUUUUAUCAAGUGAAGCAAUUGAAUUGAUGAAACUUGCUUGUUUUGGCAUCUUGGUUUAUCUUCAAUCUAGAGUAAUCAUGAGGAAUGAUUUCAUUGAUUUUGCUUUACUGUGUAAUGGUUGCUGCAAGUUCAGUGGGAGAGGAGCUCCUUUAAAGGGCUGUUGUUCAGGAUGCAUUAGCUGAUAUAUUUUUACGAGGCAGUAAUCUUAUAGCUGAAGGAAUGGCAUCUUUGGUAUGUGCACUAUUUUCUAAGUUGUGAAGAAAAUAAUGAAUAACAAAAAUACUGGUUGUUACAUUAAAAAAAAUCGAGCAGAUAAAUUGCCACUCAUCUUAAAUUUCCUUAAUUAUAUCUAUUAUGUGUGGUUUCAACCCCUGCAUCUUAUGUCUUUAUCUAUGUUACAUGCUCAUUCAAGAUAUAUAUCACUUUACGUUCAAAAAAAAAAGAUAUAUAUCACUUUACAUGCUAAGAUUCACAAUUUUAAAAUAUAAUUAAAAGUGGCCCACAUGAUUACAUCAGUUACAAUUUCGAAGUGUUUGUACUUGUUAGCCAUUGCUGAACUAAAGUACAAAAAAAUUGGCUUAACGGUUAUGAUAAAAAAGAUUUGUAACUAUACGGUUCAAGCUUCUAAGGAAUUGUUUGGUGUUUGGGAGCGUGCUUAGCUUUACUUGUUUGAUGUGUUAUUAUGCUUACCACUUUAAUUAACCUUUGAAUUUGUUCUGUUAUGAUAACCAAUUAUCUGUUGUACAUGGUUUUGUUCUAUUGUUCCUAAAACUAGGCACAACUGGACCUUUAGUGACAUGAUCGACUUUCAGUGACAUCGUGGUGUUGAUGCUGGCAUGCUGCUAAUGAGAUUUUCUUUGAGCGCCGGUGCGAGUCCCAUGUUCUUGAUCUUCAUAUGGUGGGGCCAUAUUCCACCAAGUGGAGCAAUUGAAUUGAUAAUACUUACUUGUUUUGGCAUCCUGGAUUAUCUUCAAUCUAGACCAACCAUGAGGAAUGAUUUCAUUGACUUUGCUUUACAGUUUGUACUGAUGGUUGCUGCAAGUUCAGUGGGGGAGGAGCUCCUUUACAGGCUGCUGUUCAGGUUUGUUUAGGACUUAGGAGGUUCUGUGCCUGGUUAUAAUUGUAUCAUGUGCUCAUACAAGAUAUAUAUCACUUUACAUAUCACACGAUGUGCAGCAUGUCAUUCACCAAUAGCUUGUUCAAUGAACUUAAUGCCCCACAUAACACAUGAACAGAAUAUGCAUGUUAUACAUUUACAUGUGAAUAAACACAUGUUUUCCUUGUUUGGAUUUGCUUAUUUAAUUAAAAAAAGGCUAAACAUAGAUUUUUUAGCUUAAAAGCUUUUUUUUCGUGCAAAAUAAAUUACUCCAACUUGGCACAUAUAGAUAUAGGGCAGAACUGCAAUGUUAGACUUUUGGUAUAGAGUUUAGCAGUUUGAAAGAAGGCCCAUGAAUGGCUGGAAUUAAACUGACAUUUGAAGGUACACUUUUUUUAUUGCAGUUUAAUUAACUGAUAUAAAUGGGAUUGAUUUUUCAGGGACAAGGUUGGCUUGGUCAAGUCUUGUAGUAAUUCAUAUUUAUGGUUCUAAAACCAUUUCUUUAACUAGUUCUCAAAACCAGUUCACAAGUAUAUGAAGUCGGUUUUUAAAAUUGGUUCUUAAUGUAUUUCUCAAAGUGGUUCUGAAUGCUCGGACCGGUUCUUGAACUGAGUUCCCGAGCUGAUUUGCCAAAUUGAAAAACAGGUUCAGUUUGGUUCAUGUAUAAAAACCCAGUUCAAUUCGAUUCAGCCAAACCAGUUUUCUAGUUCAAUUCGGCUUGGUUUGUCUUUUUGCUUGAACCUGAACCAUGACCUGUCCUAAGAAAAUCAGCAGGGUUGAUGAGUGACUAAGAUGAUUUACUGCUAUAGAGAAAUAUUUGGUCGAUGAGUACUAGAGAUUAGAGAGACAGUUUGGUUCAAAAUAUAGCUUCUAGUGCUAUGUUUCUGAUACGAAGUGUUUGAGUAUUAGUUUAAAUCCAUGUCCAGUGCGUAGCCAGAGAUUUUCAUGAGUAAGCUGUAGGUUCUUUUAAGAUGAAUUAAUUGUUUCUCCUUACGACACAUUUUUUUUCUUCUAUUUUUAAUGUCUAAAACAGAUAUAAAAAUAAUCAUUAGAAUAUGAAUAUCAAUAUGUUUCUAUCCUCUGUUGCUUUGCUUUGAGAGAGGAACUUUGUCCUUUUUUUUUUGGGUGGUUUUAAUUGAUGAAGGGUACUUUUUGUUAGCUCCAGAGUUGAGGCUGAGCAGGAUUUGGGUUGCUAUAUGCAUCUACUUGUCUCACUGCAACUUUUGACUUUUAACAUAGUUUGUGUUUAUAAACAUAUGCUCAUCUGCAACGUGUGUUCCUUCAGGGACAUCUGAUAAAUUUGGAAUGAUACAAAGAAGAUUAGCAUCGCGCCUUGCCUCUGCGCAAGGAUGACACGCACAAAUCCAGUCUUCUUCUACUGGGUCCAAAUAUUAUCCAAUUUUCUGUUCAAGAAUGCCAUGAUUUUUAUUUGCACAAAUCUAUGUAGAAUUCUGUGCAAUGAUAAAAUAAUACUGCCCGGAUAUUAUGCGUGUCCUCCCUUUUUUAUUUCUGUUUACCUCUAAUUGGUUUGCCAAUUUAUUCAAAGCUUAAGUUGAUGCUGCAGAAGAGUUAGUUUUUUUUUAUCUUUGAAAGAAGUCAUUUUUUUCUUUCUUCUAGAAUUUUGCUGUCCCAGUUCAGUUUAGUAUCUUAGAAUAUCAUUGGAGUUAGAUCUCACAAAUGAGCAGAAUAGACUGGACCUUUUAUAGAGUUGUUCUAUAUAAUAAAUAGGGCUUUCCUUUUGCCUUCAAUCUAAAUCACAACUCUAGCUUUCAUCAAGUUCCCCUUAUCAGACUAUCCCUUAUUUUCUUCAGUUGGCAGGAUGAGAAGUAAAGCUUUUUUGCUGUUAAUUUUAUUGUUAUUUAAUUGUUUCCAUCAGAUAUAUCAUGGUUUCAUUUCUGUUAGUAAUUGUUGGUAAAAUUAAUUGCAGUGUGGUCUAGCCUAUCAAAUGUUGAAAUUUGAACUUGAUAUCUUGCUCAAGCAUAGGCAUUAUUCAUUUCGACAUAAAAAUUAGAUACAGACUUGUUCCGUUGCACUGAUUUUUUGAUUCUGUGCCAAAUCGGUACUAUGUUACGGUACCAAUAUGAAGUUUUCGAAAGCUUAAAUACUUCAAUUCUUAAGGAAUCUUGGUCAUGGCUUAAGUCGUGAUUGUCUGGGAUUUGAAAGUGUUUCUAUUUACUAUUUGGUUAGACCUAACUCGAAUUCUAAUAUGGCAUUAAAGACGGUUCCUAUCCAGUGAUUUGUGGGUUAUGGGGCCACCAUGCUUUCAUUGUGAAACUCUAAUUUUAAUAGCUCAGAAAUUGUCUUCAUAACCGAUUUGGACCUUGUAAAUGUUAUUCUCAUGAAUUUCCUCUAUUGUUUUGAAAGGGCUCAAAUGAUGCAAACUCAUAGCUCAUGCCUCUAGAUCACAGGUAUGGAGACCAAGGUUAUGUAUCUUGUGUUAAUGCAUUACAAGACUUAUCACAUGCAAAUCUGGCACACUGCACAACGUAUUAGAAAAAGGAAGUUUAUUAGAGGGGAAAGAGGGAAAGUUCUAUAAGAGGAGAUAGGAUAGCCUUUUGCAGAUGGAGAUCAUUGAGCAAGUGGAUUUUCACUCGAGCAGUUCUUCCAUCUGUGUUUGGUGCAUAGUUUGAUAACUAAUAAAAGUUUUGCUUGCUCAAAUUAUCUAAACAUACCUUUAUAUACCCUCUUAAUACUAUGUAUGUCUCAUACUGUUAUUCAAAAGUGUUAUAUAAUGUUUCAGAUCUCCCUUUACUUUUUUC